rnacentral:lncRNA from 1 species
CAGAGCUGCCACAACCCAUCUUCCCACAACUCGGAACUUGGAAAAAGGAACCCAGGACACGACUUUGCUUUUCUUUUGGACCUAGUUGCAACUUUUAAAAGCAUUUCCAUUGCACAGUGAAAGAAAACCACAAACUCCUUGUUUAAUAACUCGGAUCAUGUGCUUUUAACGAGAGGAAAAGGUCAAGUCUGAAGCAACUGAUAUGGAACUGCCAGAGUAGGAGUUGAAAAUAUUCCUAAACUGCUGGAGGAUACACCUCUGAUAGCUUGAGACAAAUAUCCUCUUGAUUAUUGUUUCACCAUAUUUGUCUUUGCUCACAGAGAACCAUUUUGACCUGUGGUUUAGCCUCCCAGGUGAUUGAACAAUAGCGGUGAUCUGAGGCAGACCCUCUGUGACGGAUAACAGGAGUCCAUUCUCAAUUUUCUGUGCAAAUUGGGGAAGGCUGUUGAUAAUCGGUGGGUGCUAUAGUGCCCAUGGAAAGACUCUAGGCUGAAGAUACCAGCCUCUCCCUCCCAAGAUCACCUCCCUUGACCAAUCUUCUCACACUCCUGACAGAUACAAGGGAGCAAACAAGUUGCACCCAGUCUGAUAGUAAACUGCAGGGACAUUUCCAUUCUAAGGAAGGAAUUUUUGUGUGUGUUGCAACUCAGCUUCUGCUCUGGCAUUUUGCUGUGCAUUUAUAUUGCCAAUCAUGUUGGAGAGUCCAUGUGGUGAUUUCUGAAAAUGAGAUGUGAGAAAGAAGAGGAUAAUUUAAGUCUAGACCUACAGAUUGUGCUGAUAAAGUGAUGAAGAGCUACAAUCUUCUGAGUCAUU